AGAAUUUAAACUUUACUGUAUGUAUUGUUAUGUGCUUAAUGGAUAGAACACUGCAUUUUGAGGAUUUGAAUCUAUACUCUUAUUCAGGUUUAAGAAGACAUUACUUAGAAUUAAAUAAGUAAAAAUUAAUAUAUGGUGAUGAACUCUCCAGUCAUGAAAUUUAACAAUAGAAUAAGUUUUACAUAAAAAUAAUUCAAGCUAGUACAAAAAAAAUUGAGUUUUUCAUUUUAACGUUGAAUUUCUUGAAUUUUGUGAAUUUGUUUUAUAUGGAUUUGUGCUUUCUUAACCCUCAUUCUUUUUACAUCUGAUGUAGAGGACUGAUUCCACUCCUCAAAGGGUUGUAUCAUAUCCUUGUAACACAUAACAAUGGCUAGAGGUUUCCAACCAAUUUGAUUAAUGUAACAGUGAUGACUGAUGUCAUUUUAGAUGAAAAACAAAUGUAACAAUAAAUUAACAAACCUGAAUGUACUUUAAUAAUUUUGAUAGGAUUGAUGUUUUGGAAAUGGUGUUUAUGUUGGCGUAACAGGAUGAUCUACAUUCGGACAUCAAAAAGGUAUGUGGAAUAAGUAAUCAUUAUUCAACUUACUUAGCAAAUAAUCAUUAAUAUAUAAUAAUCGUAAUAUUCCACUCUGCUUUCUUAGAAUUAUAAUUCUAAAAAUAAUUACAAAACAUUGAGAAUUAUGCAACGUAGCAUUAAAUAUUGGAUAUUGUGCAGUAGGAAAUGGUAAUUGUUUCUUUUUAUAAAAUGCCUGUUUCAUUACCAAUUGAUGAUCAAUUAUUGUCACUAGAUAAAUGUCAAUUACAUUGUUAUAUUAAAUAUAAAACUUUAUCCAACUUUCGAUCUCUUUCAUCAAUUAUUUUUAUAGUUCUAGAUAUUAAUAGUCAGAACAAUAAAUUGUAUAUGAAAGCCCUGCAACUGAAAAACUUAUCAGGCAUAGUGUUACAAAGAACUGUUUUAUGUACAUUAUUUUAUUUCUAUGCCAUUGUUAUUGUAUCUUUUUAAAUAGGUCAUUAUAAUAGAACUAGCCAAAACAUUCUUGAAUUAUGAAUGUUAUAACUGAAAGUUUGGAUUUUAAUUGUGUAACAAUGUACAGUACACAAGUUCCUCAAUUAAAGUGUAUCUAUAAAGUUUAGUAAAUAAUUUAUCUAUUUCAAUACUGAAACAAUACCUUGUCUGAUUGAUUUAUCCAUUAUUGGGAUUAUUAAAAUUCUUUUAAAUGUGUUUUUAUAUAUCUUGAUUAGGACAUGUAGUUUGUUUUAAUUUAUUUUUAAGUAACAAAAAUAUUAUAUUAUUAAUGUGGCAGAGUAUUUCAGGAGAGUUACCUCAAAUCAGUGUGAAUGGCAUUACAGGUGUCGAUGACCCAAGACCACUGCAGUUUCCUUAUGACUUCUGCGGCUGAAUGUGCAAGCCUGAGCCCCGAUGUUAUCAUCACUUGUGUCAUUGCAGCUCUGUAGUGCCACUAACUGCACAACACGUUCACGUCAGACACAGCCAGGUGUUUUGCUGCAAUCGCUACAAUCGGCAGAAGAUUAUUGUGAUGUUUAUAAAUAUUUGAAAUCAAUGCGAGUUUUAUUUAUCCUUAUGUCCAUAAAGAUUUUUGUCAUCCAAA